CCUACGGGAGGCAGCAGUAGGGAAUAUUGCUCAAUGGGGGAAACCCUGAAGCAGCAACGCCGCGUGGAGGAUGAAGGUUUUCGGAUUGUAAACCCCUUUCGUCAGAGAAGAUAAUGACGGUAUCUAACGAAUAAGCACCGGCUAACUCCGUGCCAGCAGCCGCGGUAAUACGGAGGGUGCAAGCGUUACCCGGAAUCACUGGGCGUAAAGGGAGCGUAGGCGGGAUAGCAAGUCAGAUGUGAAAUCCUAUGGCUUAACCAUAGAAGUGCAUUUGAAACUGUUAUUCUAGAGUAUGGGAGAGGUAGGUGGAAUGCUUGGUGUAGGGGUAAAAUCCGUAGAGAUCAAGAGGAAUACUCAUUGCGAAGGCGACCUGCUGGAACAUAACUGACGCUGAUGCGCGAAAGCGUGGGGAGCAAACAGGAUUAGAUACCCUUGUAGUC
rnacentral:rRNA from 1 species